ACCUGACCAGCAUCUUCUGAAUUCUGGAAGCUCCACUUGUUUUUUUGAGCCUUGAUUAACUAUCUGUCUCUUCCCUUCGUCAUAGGCUGUUCACGCCAAACUGGGUUUCCCCCUCCUGAACUCACCUCCCAUCAAGAUUGGAAUCUGCUGCAUCUAGCAGCCGCUCUUGCGAGUCCUCCAGCCGAAAGCGCAACCUGUCCACCCACCUUGCUACCUGGAACAUCAGAGAACUCCAACCGUUUCCGCGCAGGCUCACACCCCAGACUUGAACUGGCUCUUUCCCCCUGGCGGAUCGAUUGCCUCCCGAAAACCUGACUCCUGAUCACUCUGCUCACCUCGUUCCUAAGACUGAAAAGAAAUAAAAACUUUAAAUUUA